rnacentral:rRNA from 1 species
UACGGUGGCUAUAGCGAAGGGGAAACACUUGUUCCCAUCCCGAACACAAAAGUUAAGCCCUUCAGCGCCGAUGGUACUAUACCGCUAUGGUAUGGGAGAGUAGGUCGCCACCGUAU